UCUACAGUGUCGCGGACCGUGCGGAUGCAGUUGGCCGUACCUCUCGGCUCUUUUCUUUGGACGUCGCGUUUUCAAUGAACUUUACUGACAUGACUGAUAAAUUCAUGAACAUUAUUUGCACCAAACUCCUGUGCAUUCAGAACUAUUUCAGCAAUAUAACUGUUGCAUUUCAGACCAAUAAUUGCUUUGAGGCUUGAGUGCUUUGGCAAUGUUGGAAGUAGUACAAGAAGUAAGAAACCUUGUGCAUUUUUCUCGCGGGCCAGAAGCUGGACACAUCUUCCAACAAUAUCUUUUGUUGAGAAGCCGAAUGUGUACCAGCCAGCAGUGAGCUCCCAGUAGCCAGCCAAGCUUCAAGCGACUGUUACUCGAGUUGCAGAUAAAGGGGGGAACAUCUUUUGUGCUAAUGACUCUCGAGAGUCUGCUACUAGACGGGUGAUGUAAUCUGUGGAUAUGUGGUUUGUGGACGAAUAUGGAGGUUCACCAAUGGACCAAGUCCUCAUCUUGUUCUUGCCAAACUGGAUGAUGUGGAAGUGAUUGAAACACAGAAAGUUCCCUCUGAAGUCUCUGAUUCAUGUCCACAUGUCAGUGGUAUCAAGUACUUGCAGCAAAGAUCCAUGUUUUCUUCUUAUAGAAUGAGAUGAUAUGAUGGAGGUUGUGUACUGAAAUCUUGAAUGAGCUGAGGUGAUGCCUACCAGUGGAAUCUGGGGUCAUGCAAAAGAUUUGUUUUGAGAAGUCUCUGAUGAUGUAGUGUCUGCAACAGGAGGUGUUUGAAGGAGCAUUGCUGGAGGAUACGGGGAAUGGUGACUUCAACUGGACCCAUUUGGAUGAGCAUCAAUCGAGUAUACACAUGCAUUGAGCCAACAAUAGACCACUUAAUUGAUUCAGACAAUGAUUCAGGCUAAUCAACAUUUUUUGGACUGUGUACCCAGCUGAAGAAGGACUGUGUCUGUUCUUGCUAGAUGACUCUCCACUACAGGUUGCACCCUUCAAGUGAUGUAUAGUUGCUGAGGCUAUCCAUCAAUUUGUGCAAAGGGUCAACAAGCAGGACUUCUAGAUUGAGAUGAUGACAUUUGGAGAUGAUAUUCACCUAAUCUUGAGGCUAAUCUUUUUUGGACUGUGUACCAUCAGCUGAAGAAGGAUGCGUCUACUCUAGUUAGAUGACUCUUCACUACACGUUCAACCCUUUAAGUGACGUGUGGAUGUUGAGGCUAUCAAAUGCUUUUUGGACAGCUGAAAAGAGUCGACAACAUCUUUAUUGAGACAAUGAACUUGUUGGUCUGUGUACCACCAGCUGAAGAAAGACUUGGUCACACAUGGGUCUUGCCAGUCGCCUCUCCGCUACAAAUUCAACCACAGAUGUAGGGAUAUGCUAAUCGUCGCUUUUUGGACUGGCCACUUAAUGAAGGACUGUCGGAACUAGCCAGAAGACUUUGUGCUACAAUCAACCAUUCAAAGGAGGUAGGGAUAGGUUAUAACCAAUGCUUUUUUGGACUUCGUGCCAUCACUAGCUGAAGGACUGUGUAAAGUCUUGCCAGAAGACUCGCCUCUACAAGUUCAACCACUCAACCCUCAAGUGGUCACACUGGCCAAUAGGCUAAUUAACCGUUUUUGGUAUGUAACCACCAGCUGAAGUCUUGUCAAGGGACUCUCCACUACAACCAUUGAAGUGAUGUAGGGAUAGAGGGUCAACACUAUUUGGUCUGUGCGCCACCAGCUGAUCGAAGGACUGUUAAACCUAGCCAGUGACUCUUCCCUGCAAGUUUAACUGUUGCUGUGACGGAGGGAUGUUGAGGCAAAGUAACACUUUUUGGACUGUGUGCUACCCGUCGAAGAACUAUAUAAAGUCUUGCCAAAUGACUCUUCUUGACGCAAGUCCAACUGGGGUCGAUAUCACAAAG